AAGGUAAUUGAUUUUGUUACCUAUUUUUAGGUUAAUUAAUACUAAACAUGUAAAUUUUAAUAUUAAAAUUAUUUUUAUUAAAUAUAAAAUUAGUUUUUGUUUUUCAGUUUUUAAUAUUACUUAUUUAAUAUAAUAAAAUGUAGUAAUUAUUUAUUAAUACUAACAAAUUUUAGUGCCAGCAGUUGCGGUUAUUCUAAUAGUAUAUUCUAAAAUUUUUAGGUUAGGUAUUAUAUUUAAAAUAAAAUUUUAUUAAUAAAUAUAUUUAUUAAGUGAAAUUUUAAAUAUAAAUUUUAGUAAAGGUAAAUUAUAUAUUAAGUUAAUUUUAAAACUAGGAUUAGAUACCCUAUUAUAUUUUUAUAAAUUUUAUAACCUUAUUAUUAAUAGUUUAUUCUUUAAAAUAAAAAAAUUUGGCGGUAAUUAUUAAUUGUUCAGAGGAACCUGUUUUUUAAUUGAUAAUCCACGAUUUAUUUUACCUUACAAUUUUCUUAUAUACCGCUAUCAUUGAAUAUUUUAUUAGAAAAUUUUCAAUAAUUAUUUUAAUAUAAAAUGUUAGGUCAAGGUUUAGUUUAGUAAGGUUAAAAUGGGUUACAUUAAUUUUAAUUUUGGAUUUUAAAUAUUGAAGUUUAAAUAAAAUUGGAUUUGAUUGUAAUAUUUAAAUUUAUAUUUUUUAUGAAAUUAUUAUGAUUAUGUACAUAUCGCCCGUCAUUCUCAUAAAUUGGGACAAGUCGUAACAAAGUAGAGGUAUUGGAAAAUGUUUCUGGCUUAAA
rnacentral:ncRNA from 1 species